GUUGUGAUUUCAUUAAUCGCUUCGGAGCGCGGGCGGUCGCGGCCGUUAAAUCUUUCACAAGGUUGACCUCGGAUCAGGUAGGGAUACCCGCUGAACUUAAGCAUAUCAAUAAGCGGAGGAAAAGAAACCAACAGGGAUUG
rnacentral:rRNA from 2 species